AUAACAUUAAAUACCAGUGGAGGGAGACAUUCAAUGGCAUGUUUUUUCGGAACAAAGAAUCCACCAUAAGCGCUUGUAUCAGAGGCCGUUAAAACCUUCGUAAAGGAAUUAACUAAUGGCCUAAAUUGAUUUUCACUCUGAGUAGGGAUUACAACUUGCUAAGGAUUUAACAAAAUCAGAAAAUCAAUGAGAUAUAAUAGGAGAAAAAUACAAUUGACUGAAAAUAAAAGAGAAAUACUAAAUUUUCACUUACAGUUGUAUCUGGCAUCAAAGUGAUCUCAGCAUAAGUCUCAUCACUAUUGUUUUCCACCUAAAAUCAAACAUCAAACAAUUAACCAAUUACUUCUUUUUACAAUGAAAUCAAAUAUAGAUAUCAUGCGUAUUUGCUAAAACAUAAUAGAGAUAUACCUUAAGAUGAAUUGCAAUAACACGGCAUUGAAGCUUAGAAGGAAGAUCACAAAUUGGUUGUAACUCAUUCAACUCUUCUCUUGUAGAUGCAUCAACCUGAAAAGGCCGUCAAAAGGUUUCAUACACAAGAGAGAGAUAGAGAGAAAGAAGAGAGAGAGAAGAAAGGGAGAUAGAAAGAAGAAAGAGAGAGAGAAGAGAGAAAGAGAAGAGAGAGAGAAGAGAGGGAGAGAGAGAGAGAGAGAGAAGAGAGGGAGAACUCACAAGCUCUAUAUUGCCUUGAGGAAAGUAAUAAACAUUUUCUCCAAGUUUUGGAAUAUCACACAAAGGUCCCGCACAGAGUUUCCAUAACUGCUCGUACAUAUAGCUCUUGGAUCCAUCAACUGCCGAACAAAAACCAAAAAAUUAUAACCAAAACAAGUUUUCAAUAAGAGAAAAUAAAAAAGUUAAAAUUUCUUACUUAUGCCUGAUAAUUCAGGUUGUGCAUUCACAACGUUGCCAGUUUCCAUAACCUCGUAUCCAAAUAUCGGUAUACCAAAAUAUGUUAUCUCAACAAUUAUUAUAAAACUUUCUCCCUUUCCUCAACUUCUCUCGCGACCAUGAUAGCACAAAAUAUCACAUUUAUAGGUAAGAACUAUCAAAAUACAUUAAAAUACUUCCUUAGAUUUGAAUACU
rnacentral:sRNA from 1 species